UUAUUACAACCACAUGUACAUCAUAUUCCAAGAAAAUGGUUUCUAAAAGUGGAAACGAGCAAAAUCCAAUGAGAGAGAGGCAGAGUUCCGUUAAUAGCGCACGUCUCAUCCGUUCAAAUCCAUUAUUCACAGCGUUUGACUCACGGUGAAAAGGACGUCACGUGAUUUCACCUCAGAAAGGGCGGGAGAGCGAGAUGCGUCGCAGAGAGUCACAGUUGUGAGGAAAAAUUGUAAACACUCCAGUGCUCGUGCACCCAAAAUAGUGCAGGUGGGAAAGAUCCUGAUUUUCUGCUCAAAAUAAAGAUCAGCAAACAUCCCACGAUGACAGGUGGCGCCGGUGAGCUACAGGUGUGUCGCACCUGUCCGAGGGAGGCAGACGAGGCAGGGAACACGAGUGCGGACGGAGAGGAUCCCACGGUCGCUCCGUUUGCGUGCUGCAAUCCGUCGUUCGGUUAUACUGCAGGCUCCGCCCCCUCCCCUCGAUCUGGAGCGUGAUUGGCUGCUCGUAGCUGGCCAGGAUACGGAAGGCCUCUCGCUUCUGCAGUGAUUAAUCUCCGGAGGACACAAAAACACAAUCUGAUGUGACGAUGACGUCAUCACAUUCGGUCGUCUCUGAUUGGUGGAGAGGAGCGGCGAGACUCCCCCAACACUCAUCAGGAUGUGACAUCAUCAGGUGAUGACAAACAUUUAAAGUGCUUUGAUUGGCUGAUCUGUGGAGCUUCAGAGAGACAAACGGGUCGUGACGUUAUAUUCAUGACAAUAAAACACACUUUCCACACGUUCACAUUACUGUAAUGCAAAAAUAUAUGUUUUCAUUACCGUAACAAAAAAAAUAUUCUCCUUCUCAUCACUUCGGUCACAAUACGGAAAUAUAUUCUAAUUUUUAU